GCUGGACAACCCCUGAGAGAUUCAUCUGAGUGAGAGAGCACUCUCCAGCCCCAUCGGAGUGGGUUUGCAGGGAAAUCAUAAGGAAGAAAUCCUUAUCUUUCCAACACUGAGAUGCUUCUGCCGAAGAGUAGAAUGGGAGUGAGGGGACACGCAAAACGGGCUGCUGCCGGAGGAAGAGGAACAGUGUUGUGGCUCAUGCCAUAUGAAUGGGCUCACUGGCCUGGCCCAGACCCUGACUGCCCACAGGAUCUUUGACAGAGAAACGGAGGCACAGAGAAGGAAGCGGCAGUUAAAGCUGCGAAGAACCUAACAAAUUUCAAGAUUGUAAGUGCCUUUUCCCAGGAUGCCAGCAAGUACUGAGCCUGUAUUUUGAGCUGCAUCAAACCCUGUUGGAAUAAAAAAGGACAUUUCUAGGAGAUCAGUCUUCGAGAUUGGCCCCAGUUUCCCCAGAGUAGGAAGAGGCAGGAAGCCAGAGCACAUGUUCUCUCCAGAAAUAAAGUUGUUGCAGUGGCCU